rnacentral:rRNA from 2 species
CGACGGGUAGCCGGCCUGAGAGGGUGACCGGCCACACUGGGACUGAGACACGGCCCAGACUCCUACGGGAGGCAGCAGUGGGGAAUAUUGCACAAUGGGCGAAAGCCUGAUGCAGCAACGCCGCGUGAGGGACGACGGCCUUCGGGUUGUAAACCUCUUUUAGCAGGGAAGAAGCGAAAGUGACGGUACCUGCAGAAAAAGCACCGGCUAACUACGUGCCAGCAGCCGCGGUAAUACGUAGGGUGCAAGCGUUAUCCGGAAUUAUUGGGCGUAAAGAGCUCGUAGGCGGUUUGUCGCGUCUGCUGUGAAAACCCGAGGCUCAACCUCGGGCCUGCAGUGGGUACGGGCAGACUAGAGUGCGGUAGGGGAGAUUGGAAUUCCUGGUGUAGCGGUGGAAUGCGCAGAUAUCAGGAGGAACACCGAUGGCGAAGGCAGAUCUCUGGGCCGUAACUGACGCUGAGGAGCGAAAGGGUGGGGAGCAAACAGGCUUAGAUACCCUGGUAGUCCACCCCGUAAACGUUGGGAACUAGUUGUGGGGACCAUUCCACGGUUUCCGUGACGCAGCUAACGCAUUAAGUUCCCCGCCUGGGGAGUACGGCCGCAAGGCUAAAACUCAAAGGAAUUGACGGGGACCCGCACAAGCGGCGGAGCAUGCGGAUUAAUUCGAUGCAACGCGAAGAACCUUACCAAGGCUUGACAUAUACGAGAACGGGCCAGAAAUGGUCAACUCUUUGGACACUCGUAAACAGGUGGUGCAUGGUUGUCGUCAGCUCGUGUCGUGAGAUGUUGGGUUAAGUCCCGCAACGAGCGCAACCCUCGUUCUAUGUUGCCAGCACGUAAUGGUGGGAACUCAUGGGAUACUGCCGGGGUCAACUCGGAGGAAGGUGGGGAUGACGUCAAAUCAUCAUGCCCCUUAUGUCUUGGGCUUCACGCAUGCUACAAUGGCCGGUACAAUGGGCUGCAAUACCGUAAGGUGGAGCGAAUCCCAAAAAGCCGGUCCCAGUUCGGAUUGAGGUCUGCAACUCGACCUCAUGAAGUCGGAGUCGCUAGUAAUCGCAGAUCAGCAACGCUGCGGUGAAUACGUUCCCGGGUCUUGUACACACCGCCCGUCAAGUCAUGAAAGUCGGUAACACCUGAAGCCGGUGGCCCAACCCUUGUGGAGGGAGCCGUCGAAGGUGGGAUCGGUAAUUAGGACUAAGUCGUAACAAGGUAGCCGUACCGGAAGGUGCGGCUG